AUGAAUGCUCUCAUCCUCCUUCAUUCUUAAGUUCUCAAACUUGACGGUAAGAAGUUGAAUCUUGACAUCUUCGCCUUAGAGGUUCCUUCAUGAGCAGUCUUCAAGAUCUCCCAAGCAUCUUUAGCAGCAGUACAAUUAUUUAUCAGUCUGAAGAUGUUCUUGUCCACCCCAUUGAACAAGGCAUUCAAUGCUUUGGAGUUUCCCUGAGCUAAU
rnacentral:lncRNA from 1 species